rnacentral:ncRNA from 1 species
UGGUCCCAGCCUUGAGGUCAGCUGUUACUUAAUAUACACAUGCAAGUCUCCGCACCCUUGUGAAAACGCCCUUAUAAUCCUCUAAGGAACAAGGAGCUGGUAUCAGGCUCAAAACUUAGCCCAAGACACCUAGCUAUGCCACACCCACACGGGUACUCAGCAGUGAUUAACAUUGAAAAUAAGCGCCAGCUUGAAUCAGUUAAAGUAGAAAGAGCCGGCUAAUCUGGUGCCAGCCGCCGCGGUUACACCACGUGACUCAAACUGACCUCUUUCGGCGUAAAGCGUGAUUAAAGAACCCCCCCAAUACUGCAAUUAAACUAGAGCUGAGCUGUGACACGCCUACCCCUAAGAACCCCAAAUAACGAAAGUAAUUGCAACUUUUAAACUUGAACUCACGACAGCUAGGAAACAAACUGGGAUUAGAUACCCCACUAUGCCUAACCGUAAACUUUUACUUACCCCCACACCGCCAGGGAACUACGAGCAAAGCUUAAAACCCAAAGGACUUGACGGUACCCCACAUCCACCUAGAGGAGCCUGUCCUAUAAUCGAUAACCCCCGCUUAACCUCACCAUUCUUAGCAUAUCAGCCUGUAUACCUCCGUCGUCAGCUUACCACGUGAGCGCCAACUAGUGAGCUAAAUGCCCCUACGCCAACACGUCAGGUCAAGGUGCAGCACAUAAAAUGGGAAGAGAUGGGCUACACUGUCUAGACUAGACUACACGAAAAACUACAUAUGAAACCUAGUUAGAAGGCGGAUUUAGAAGUAAAGAAAGACCAAAGUGCUUCCUUUAACUUGGCACCGGGGCAUGUACACACCGCCCGUCACCCUCUUCAAAGCUACUACAAAGUCUCUGACACUUCUAUGCAACCCAGAAGAGGCAAGUCGUAACAUGGUAAGUAUACCGGAAGGUGUGCUUGGAAA